rnacentral:rRNA from 1 species
GCCGGAGAGACAAGUCAGAUGUGAAAUCCGCAGGCUCAACCUGCGAACUGCAUUUGAAACUGUUUCCCUUGAGUAUCGGAGAGGUCAUCGGAAUUCCUAGUGUAGCGGUGAAAUGCGUAGAUAUUAGGAAGAACACCAGUGGCGAAGGCGGAUGACUGGACGACAACUGACGGUGAGGCGCGAAAGCGUGGGAGCAAACAGG